rnacentral:rRNA from 1 species
UGGGGAAUUUUGGACAAUGGGCGAAAGCCUGAUCCAGCAAUGCCGCGUGUGUGAAGAAGGCCUUCGGGUUGUAAAGCACUUUUGUCCGGAAAGAAAUCCUUGGCUCUAAUACAGUCGGGGGAUGACGGUACCGGAAGAAUAAGCACCGGCUAACUACGUGCCAGCAGCCGCGGUAAUACGUAGGGUGCAAGCGUUAAUCGGAAUUACUGGGCGUAAAGCGUGCGCAGGCGGUUUGCUAAGACCGAUGUGAAAUCCCCGGGCUCAACCUGGGAACUGCAUUGGUGACUGGCAGGCUAGAGUAUGGCAGAGGGGGUAGAAUUCCACGUGUAGCAGUGAAAUGCGUAGAGAUGUGGAGGAAUACCGAUGGCGAAGGCAGCCCCCUGGGCCAAUACUGACGCUCAUGCACGAAAGCGUGGGGAGCAAACAGGAUUAGAUACCCUGGUAGUCCACGCCCUAAACGAUGUCAACUAGUUGUUGGGAUUCAUUCCUUAGUAACGUAGCUAACGCGUGAAGUUGACCGCCUGGGGAGUACGGUCGCAAGAUUAAAACUCAAAGGAAUUGACGGGGUCAUAGCUG